rnacentral:rRNA from 1 species
CGCAUCUGUGCAUGCAGCAUAUCAAUAAGCGGAGGAAAAGAAACUAACAAGGAUUCCCCUAGUAACGGCGAGUGAAGCGGGAAGAGCUCAAAUUUGAAAUCUUAAAGGGUUUCCCUUUACGAAUUGUAGUUUAAAGAAGUGUCUUCUGUUGAGGUUUUGGUAAAAGUUCUUUGGAAUAGGACAUCAUAGAGGGUGAGAAUCCCGUAUUUGACCUUUACUUUCAACUUUGUGAUACACUUUCAAAGAGUCGGAUUGUUUGGGAAUGCAGUCCAAAAUGGGUGGUAAAUUCCAUCUAAAGCUAAAUAUUGGCGAGAGACCGAUAGCGAACAAGUACCGUGAGGGAAAGAUGAAAAGAACUUUGAAAAGAGAGUUAAACAGUACGUGAAAUUGUCAAAAGGGAAGCGUUUGACACCAGUGUUGUUUUUCUGAAAAUCAAUUAAAGAACUGUUUAUGCUAAGUUGUUUAGACUUUAUCAGCUAUCUGUUUAGUUUUGAGCUUUUCUUUAAUGCACUUUUCAGUUAACAAGUCAACAUCAAUUUCUUUUGCUGUAAAAAAGCUUGAGGAAGGUGGCUUGAGAUUCGUCUUAAGUGUUUAUAGCCUCUUGCCUAUGCAGUCGGAGAGAUUGAGGUCUGCAGCGUAGAUCCUUCGGGGCUAAAUGCAUUUGUGCUAAGUUAUAGCAUUUUAUAGACAACUUGUUGACUAUGAUUUGUCUUGUAGCUUACUCGCUUAUGUUAUUUUACCUACGCUUAGGAUGUUGAGUCGUAGAGCACGCAG